GGAAGAUCUUGGCUGUUACCUUUGUGGAACGGAUGCUCAAUGAUUCAAUUAAGGACUGUAGAAACUUUUGAGCUCUAGAAUGGAUGCCUAUUAGCAGAUUUCAGCAUCUCCCAUGGUCAUGUGCUCUGCAGACUAAGAACGGACCAGUGGGGCUGGCUGGAAAGCUCUUCCACGGACGCGCUCUCUGGUUGCCUCCAUGCCUUCGGUGUAUAGAGGCCCACAAAGAGAACCCGGAAGUUCAUGGUGGCCUCACUGUAGCAGCCUUAAGCCCACUAAUCAAUGCACUCAAGCGGAUGCAUGCGUUUUCCAUGAUUUCCUUCGUGUGUUGAGAGCCUAGAGAAGAACAAUGGACGCACAGCAGUGGGUUUAAGGAUCUUCCGUGGUCUUGGGCUCUACAGACUGAUAAUGGAUGCACCUGAAUUUAUUAAGCAUUCGACUGUGAUCAGGGCCUCUGCUGGUUUUCCUGUGUAUAAAUACAUGUGGGUCAUAAUGGAUCCUACAAGCUGAUUUCAGCUUCUGCUCUGAUUGAGAUCAUCAUGUUGCCUCUGUCAGGAGGGCGACAAAGACCACUAAAUGGGUGCACCUGGACUGAACAGACCACGAUCUCGAGGCUGCCAGUAUGUUUAAGAAAUGAGUACAUGACCACAUAGAGGAACAAAAACAAGCACAGAUCUGUAUAAAUGAUGAGAAGUGAAAAUUUAUGACUGAUUUGAUUAUGAUUAAUUGGAUCACUUUGGAUGAUUUUGAAAACAGUUUGAGCCCCAGUCAUCCAUUUUUACAGCUCUCUAAAUUUUUGUUUUAGGUUUUCCCUAAAGAUUCCUUAGUUGAUAGCAGUGUAAGCUAUUUUCAUCAUGAGGAAGAGCACACUGGAGAUGUAAGUAUAAUACUAGUCAAUAGUUUAGUUCUGAUAUUGGGUUCAUGGGCUUCCUCGUUGGCUCAACGGUAAAGAGUCUCUCUGCUAUGUAGGAGACGCAGGAGACGUGGGUUCGAUCCCUGGGUAAGGAAGAUCCCCUGGAAGAGGGCAUGGCAGCCCACUCCAGUAUUCUUGCCUGGAGAAUCCCUUGGGCAGAGGGGCCUGGCAGGCUACAGUCCAUACGGUCACAAAGAGUCAGACCCGCACAAUGCGUUCACAUUAUGAAAGAAAGGCCUACCAUGGACCAAUGAUGGGAAUGGAAUGCAUUUUGAAAUAUUUUUUUAUGAUCAAAACACCUAAAAACUACUGAGGUCCAUGUCAAAAAAAUUAUGUUUACAUCUGUGGAAAGGGAGAGACUUCAGUAAUGUUCAAGGGUUGUAUUGUCGGUCUUUG
rnacentral:lncRNA from 1 species